rnacentral:rRNA from 1 species
AACGUAGGACGCAAGCGUUAUCCGGAAUUACUGGGCGUAAAGCGCGCGCAGGCGGGCAAACAAGUCAUGCGUGAAAGCUCCUGGCUAAACUGGGAGAGGACGGAUGAAACUGUUAGUCUUGAGAGCGAGAGAGGCGUGUGGAAUUCCGCGUGUAGUGGUGAAAUGCGUAGAGAUGCGGAGGAACACCAGAGGCGAAGGCGGCACGCUGGCUCGCAACUGACGCUGAGGCGCGAAAGCAUGGGUAGCGAACGGG